GUGCAGCAGGCGCGAAAACUUCACAAUGUGCGAAAGCACGAUGAGGGAAUCCCAAGUGCUUGCACGUAAGUGUAAGCUGUUUCUCUGUCUAAAACGCAGAGAGAGUAAGGGCUGGGUAAGACGGGUGCCAGCCGCCGCGGGUAAUACCUGCAGCUCGAGUGGUGACCGUUAUUAUUGGGCCUAAAACGUCCGUAGCCGGCUUAAUAAAUGCCUGGGUAAAUCGGACCGCUUAACGGUUCGAAUUCCGGGUAGACUGUUAAACUUGAGACCGGGAGAAGUUAGAGGUACUCCGUGGGGUAGAGGUGAAAUUCU
rnacentral:rRNA from 1 species